UACGUAGGGGGCAAGCGUUGUCCGGAUUUAUUGGGCGUAAAGAGCGUGUAGGCGGUCCGGUAAGUCAGCUGUGAAAGUCAAGGGCUCAACCCUUGAAUGCCGGUUGAUACUGUCGGGCUAGAGUCCGGAAGAGGAGAGUGGAAUUCCUGGUGUAGCGGUGAAAUGCGCAGAUAUCAGGAAGAACACCCGUGGCGAAGGCGGCUCUCUGGGACGGUACUGACGCUGAGACGCGAAAGCGUGGGGAGCGAACAGG
rnacentral:rRNA from 1 species